CGCCCGCCGCCACGUCCCGACAAAGCUGCAGCCAUGUGGACAGCCAAGCUGGUGCUGGUGGCGGCUCUCGUAGCGGCGGCCUCUGCCCAGUUCGGGGGGACGGACCCGGGCGGGCUGCUCAACGACCCGGCUGCGCUCACCGAGAUCAUACAGUGUCUGCUGGCCAACUCGGACUCAGGUUGCUCGCUACAGGGACGUCUGCUCAAGAGCGUGCUGCCGCAGCUGCUGCAGUCCAACUGCGGCCAGUGCAGCGAGGCGCAGCGCCAGGACGUGGCCAACGUGCUGCGCCACCUGGUCAACGACAGGCCGGAGGAGUGGCAGCGGCUUGCCGCCAAGUACGACCCGGCGGGCACCCUGCGCACGCAGCACGGGGACGAGUGGCGCGCGCGGGGCGUCAACAUGUAGCCGCGACCCUAACACGUUGAGGUUUCAUAGAAAAGCACCAUAUAAAUCACCAAUGAACUUGCGGUCAACACUCACAACACUGGAGUUUACCAAGUUGAACCACACCAGCACCUCCGAAGCAUCUGACGUAAAGGAACGUUAUUUCCUUCAAAGAACGUAUGCUAUUGCCAGUAUCUGGUACUCACCAAAUUGCACCUUCGCGUCAGGUACCUGAUGUAGUGACUGACAUGAAACUAGUGACAUGUACAUUAAAAUACGUCUGUGGACGCCAAAGAAAUAUGUAGUUAUGUUUAUUGCGUGCACGCCGAGCACUCACGAAUGUUUUAGUGAAAUUCUGUACAACGAUUUUUAUUAUCUAAGAAAUAAAACUCGGAAUAAACUUCUGAUUCAAAUGGUGGCAACCCAA